rnacentral:rRNA from 1 species
UACGGAGGGUGCAAGCGUUGUCCGGAUUUAUUGGGUUUAAAGGGUGCGUAGGCGGCUUUUUAAGUCAGCGGUGAAAGACAACAGCUCAACUGUUGCAGUGCCAUUGAUACUGAAGAGCUUGAGUACAGAUGAGGUAGGCGGAAUUUAUGGUGUAGCGGUGAAAUGCAUAGAUACCAUAAAGAACACCUAUGGCGAAAGCGGCUCACUGGACCAUUACUGACGCUGAUGCACGAAAGCUAGGGGAGCAAACAGG